rnacentral:rRNA from 1 species
AUUGAACGCUGGCGGCAGGCCUAACACAUGCAAGUCGAGCGAGCGGCGGACGGGUGAGUAAUGUCUGGGAAACUGUCUGAUGGAGGGGGGGAACUCUAGGAAACGGUAGCUAAUACCCAAAAACAUCAGAUAUGCCCAGAUGUGAUUAGCUAGUAGGUGUGGUACAGGCCCACCUAGGGGACGCUCCCUAGCUGGUCUGAGAGGAUGACCAGCCAAACUGGAACUGAGACACGGUCCAGACUCCUACGGGGGGCAGCAGUGGGGAAUAUUGCACAAUGGGCGCAAGCCGGAGGCAGCCAUGCCGCGUGUAUGAAGAGGGCCUGCGGGUUGUAAAGCACUGUCAGCGGGGAGGCGUUACCCGCAGAAGAAGCACCGGCUAACUCCGUGCCAGCAGCCGCGGUAAUUC